GGGCACCAAUUCAUCACUGCCGCGCUCAGGGAGGUUUUCCGGCCCCGUCGGGCAUUUCCCCAUUGGCUGCAAAGGGGUUCGUACAACGUCUCUUUCCAGGGAUAAAGGAGCCAACCGAGUCCGGAGGGAUCCCUCGCUCCGAGGCAAAGGCGUUGCUCGAGUGUCGCCGCCUGGUCCCGCCUGCGGGGCGGCGUCUCCUCCAGUUUCCCAGGGAGAAGAACAGGAACUCACAGCCACCAAGGCCUGACAGUCCCCUGCAGCCAGAGCUCAGCACACACCCAGA